rnacentral:rRNA from 1 species
UACGUAGGGUCCAAGCGUUGUUCGGAAUUACUGGGCGUAAAGCGCGCGUAGGCGGGCUUGAAAGUUGAUUGUGAAAGCCCUGGGCUUAACCCGGGAAUGGCAGUCAAAACUACAAGUCUUGAGUGCCUGAGAGGAUGGCGGAAUUCCCGGUGUAGUAGUGAAAUACGUAGAUAUCGGGAAGAACACCUGAGGCGAAGGCGGCUAUCUGGCGGUGCACUGACGCUGAGGCGCGAAAGCGUGGGGAGCAAACAGG